CGAAGGUCUUACGGGGGUGGAACGCCAUGAGGGUGUGGAACGGCAUGAGGACAUCAUUAAGUUUGUCCCAUCAUUCUCUUUAAUGUACAGCUGAGGUGAUGACUAUGUGGAGGAGUUGAAUGACUAUAGCACAGGUUUAUGGCCUCCUGCCCACAACUGUUGGAUCCUUUGAGCCUCUCAGUACCCUCUCCUCCUGUGACUCACAAAGACAUUUAUGCUGCACUAAUUGGUGGAGACGGGGAAUUGACACUCGGUUGGGAGUUGAAGGCUGGCUUUAGCCUGGCCCCUGC